GUGCUCACUUUGGCAGAACCUAUACUAAAGUUGGAAUGACACAGAGAAGAUUGGUAUGGCCUCUGUAAAGGAUGACACACAAAUUCAUGAAGCAUCCCAUUUUUUA